UCACUCCCUGGGACCGCUGCAUUGGGAACAGUUGUGAGUCCAGGCUCGAGCUUACAAUAAAGACUCUUGUGUGAUUGCAUCAGAUUCGGCUCCUGGAGGUCUACUGGGGUCCCAGGAAUCUGGCAUUACAGAUAUAUAAUGAGCUGACCAAGACUGCACCCUGAGCACCAGAAGACCAAAGGCACCAGAAAAGAGGGACAGGGGAAGAAUUUUAAGAAUGAAUUUUGCAUUUCCCAAAUGAAACAAACAAACAAAAAAGGCAUGAGAUGAUCAUCCCUACCCAUCAUGACAACAAUUAGAACUCCUCUGCCCUUUAGGUGAGUUUCCUAGGGCUACUGUAGCAAAGGACCAGACUGGUUAGUUAAGAACAAUCAAAAUUUAUUCUCUCAGGUCUGGAAGCCAGAAGUCUCAAAUUCAAGUGUCAGCUGGACAAUGCUUGCUGUGAAAGCUAUAGGGGGUAUCUUUCCUUGUUUCUUCAAGACCCUGAUGUUUUGCUGACAGUCCCUGGUGUUCCUUGGCUUCUAGCCACAGCACUUCAUUCUCUGCCUCUGUUGUCACAUGGCGCUCUCUCCUUUUGUAUGUCUGUGUCCCUUCUCUUCUUCUUAUAGGGUCACUAGUGAUAUGGCAUUGAGGGUCCACCCUUCUCCAGUAUGACCUCAUCUUAAUUUAAUCAUAUCUCAAUGAUCCUACUUUCAAAUGAGGCCAUAUUUGGAAGUACUCUGGUUAGGACUUCAAUAUAUCUUUCUGGGGUACAGAAAUCCAGCUUUGUAAAUUUUUGUUGAAUUUCAUCUGCUUUUUCUUUUGAAUUACACAUGGCAGGGGAGGUGGUAGUGAAGAACAUACUAUUUAGUGCUCAGGACUUGUUAUGGUUUAGAAUUGUCCCUCAAAGGCCCAUGUGUUAGAGGUUUGGUUGCCAGCCAAAUGACACUAUUGGAAGGUGGUGGAACCUUUAAGAGUUGGGCCUUGUGGAAAAGAGUCUGGUUAUUGGGGUCAUAUAUCAAUUUAAUACUCUAUUUUUAUUUCGUGAAUUAGGAUUUAUAACAGACUACAAGGGUUACAGGUUGGUUUUGCCUGACAACUAGAUGAAGAGCAG
rnacentral:lncRNA from 1 species